AACAACUGCAUUAUGUCUUUAAGCAUUUAUUUAUCAAAACGUUUUGAAAACAUUAUUCAAACUCCCCUUCCCCCUUUUGUAGUGUUUUCCUGCACUUCAUGUCAAGUUUUAUGAAGUUUUACAUUUGCUCCAAGUGCAUGUUGCAUUGCAUUAUUGCAAAGGAUUUGCGUUCUCCCCUCCUCCACCACUACGAAUGUCCUUUCUCCUUCAUCCCUUCUUCUUUCUUCUUCUUUUUUCCACUAACUCACUGGAAGCCAUAGUUGAACACCCCUCGUUUGUUAGGAAUCCAAGUGUGAGUAUAUGAAAGACCCAUUAACCCAUUGCCUUAAGUUUUUGGAUAGAUAACAGUGGCAGUCCCUUAUGUGGUUGGGCUGAGGUGGUUGGGGUCAGAUGGCAUUAGUGUUUGUGUCUCCUCGGUGAAUCCCCUCCUGGAUAGACCCAACAUCAUUGUUCGCCGUUGCCAAUUUUCCUGAGUUCUUGAACAGUUCCACUCUCCGUUGUUGUCCCUUAACAUGGAACACUCAUGAAUGGAUCUCGUUUUCCAGCGUCUUAGCAGCGGUAGAGACUUGGAUGGAAUUCAUGAUUGAUUUAGGGUUUGAAUUCGGGUUCUGUUUUUAGGGAUUUGAAUGGGUCCAAUGUCUCACGAUUUUGGGUUUGGCCAUAGAGAAGAAGAAAUUCCAGGUAUGGAGAGCUAUUUUAGUGUGAUUGAUUGCUUGUAUGUGGUAUGAUUUGGGAUUUAGAUGUCAGUUAUUGGUGAAACCAACGAUGCAGAAAAGAAUGUGUUCGAUUUGGGAGCAUUUGUCGGUGACCUAGCUUUGGAAGAGGAUCCGAGCAGCGAUGAUAUAUCGUUGGAAGGACUAGAGCAUCGAUGAAAAUUUUAAUUGCUACUCCAAUUUAUAUUCCUUGUGGUUAGUGUCACAGAUGGAAACUCUUCUAAGUGGAUUUCAGUGGAUAUAUCUGUUGGCAACUUCAUUUAAUACCAAUUGGUUUUAAUAUGGAAUCUAACGAAGAGUAUAUGUGUCACAGGUGUCUGUAUUUGUACAUAGAAAUUUCUUGUGCUUCUGUUGGAUUGUUUUUUUCAACCUUCUGAAUUGAAUGCUGACUCAUAUUUUGCUUUCCUUUUCAUCUAGCCAUUGUUGUUUCCCAAGAUCACAAGCCGGACCAAACUGAUGAGAGGCGAAGGAUUGAAGAUGCAGGUGGCUUUGUUAUGUGGGCUGGAACUUGGAGAGUUGGUGGUGUUCUUGCUGUUUCUAGUGCAUUUGGCGAUAGACUCCUGAAGCGGUAUGUUGUUGCUGAUCCAGAAAUACAGGUGAGUUUACAAUAUAUCUCAUAUUGUUAGAUCCAUAAAUAUAUGUGUAUAGAGUGCAUGAUUUACUAUAUAAAACAUCCAUUCAGUAAAUUAGAGACCAAACUCUGCUUCAUAUGAGAAGAUGAAAGUAAAAUAAAGCAUAAAACAUGUUUAAAAUAUAAAGACAGUUCAGAAAGAAUUUGCAUGAUGUAUAUGACAAUGCAUGCGGUUUAGUUAUGUAAGAU